UACGGAGGGGGUUAGCGUUGUUCGGAAUUACUGGGCGUAAAGCGCACGCAGGCGGAUUAGAAAGUUGGGGGUGAAAUCCCGGGGCUCAACCUCGGAACUGCCUCCAAAACUCCUAGUCUAGAGUUCGAGAGAGGUGAGUGGAAUUCCAAGUGUAGAGGUGAAAUUCGUAGAUAUUUGGAGGAACACCAGUGGCGAAGGCGGCUCACUGGCUCGAUACUGACGCUGGGGUGCGAAAGUGUGGGGAGCAAACAGG
rnacentral:rRNA from 1 species